rnacentral:misc_RNA from 1 species
UGAGACUGGAUGAGAUAACGAAAUCAGAGAAUGAAGACGGAGAAAAGAAGAUGUUUACUCAGCAGUUUGAAAGUACUGAUGCCUGUGUAUAUGAGGUGUAUGUGAAAAUAAAUUCCAUUGUGAAAUCUCAGAGUCAGUGUGGAUUGAAAAGAGGUAGUCCCGAGACUGAGCUCUGGGGUGCUAUAGUGUUCAGAAGCCAGGAAGAGAACGCAAAACCAGUGAAGGAAACUGAGGUGACAGCCUCUGAUGCAGAUUCAGGACUCUAUGGCUUUAUUGAAUAUUCUCUUUAUGAUGGAUUCCUGAGCUAUGAAGCACCUCAGGCAUUCCGGAUCGACCCUCAUGAUGGGCAAAUCUGUGUUUCUCAAGAUAUCGACAGGGAAAGGGAUCCAGCUACCUAUGAUCUCCUGGUGGAAGCUAAGGAUGGGGAUGAGCAGAGAAUGACACAUUUAGCCCUGGUGAAGGGUGGGCUAAGUGCCCAAGCCUUUGUUCGUGUGGACCUGGAGGACGUGAAUGAUAAUCAUCCUGUGUUUAACCCAUCAACCUAUGUGACGAGCAUCAGUGAUGAGACCCAGCCAGGCACCGAGAUCAUCAAUGUUCUUGCCACUGACCAGGACUCUGGGAUAUAUGGGACAGUGGCUUAUGAGCUUAUUCCAGGAAACGUGUCGUCCCUUUUUACCAUUGACUCCACCACAGGACUCUAUAGUCCAGAGGUAGAAAUUCUGAGUGCUGUCAACUUUUCAGCAGACAAGGAAGUAAUGAACAGUUUAGAGAUGUUUUUACCUCUGCUAAGGCACUUCAAGAAGGUUGAAAGAGAUGAGGAAGCUGCAGAAAAAAAAUUUGAAGCUAGCAGAGGUUGGUUCAUGAGGUUUAAGGGAAGACGCCAUCUCCAUUACCUAAAAGUGCAAGAUGAAGCAGCAAGUGCUGAUGGAGAAGCUGCAGCAAGGUAUGUAGCAAAUCUAGCUAAGAUUCUUGGUGAAGGAAUUAUUUACUUAACAUUACCUCUUAGUCAUUUGGAAUCUACCACACUUUCGUUGAUGGUCUCUGCUCAAGACGGUGGUGGGCUCACAGCUGUCAUUAAUGCCGAUGUCACCAUACACAUUUUCCAGACAACUCUGGCACCUGCUGAGUUUGAAAGGCCUAAGUACACUUUCUUAGUUUAUGAAGAUGUGCCUGAAGAUAGUCCCAUUGGAACAGUGAAAGCAAGAGAGCCCUUGAACUCCUCAGAACCAAUCUUUUACAGGAUUUCUUCUGGUGAUCUCGGCGGAAAGUUCUCCAUUCACCCGCGGCUGGGCACUAUUCGCACCCGGAAGCCCCUGGAUCACGAGACGCAGCCCGUGGUUGUGCUCACGGUGCAGGCGCAGCUCGGCAGCGCCCCAGCCUGCAGCAGCACCGAGGUCAACAUAACAGUCAUGGAUGUCAAUGACAACCACCCAGCGUUCCUCAGGACCUCGGAUGAGAUUAGAAUAUCCCAGACCACGCCCCCUGGCACAGCCUUGUACCUCGCACGUGCGGAAGACAGAGACAGUGGGCGGAACGGACUCAUCCGGUACUCCAUCGCCAGCCCGCAGCCAGGCGUCUUUGCCAUCGACAGAGCCCUGGGGGUGCUGUUCCUCAACGGCAGCCUGGGCGCGGGCGAGCAGCGGGAGCUCACGCUGACUCUCAGGGCCGAGGACCAAGGCGUGCAUCCUCAGGCAGCCCUGCUGGUGCUGACAGUCGUUAUCGAGAAACGCGAACACAGCCCAUCCUGGACUUUCGAACAUUUGGUCUAUCAAGUGGAAGUCAGUGAGUCUCUCUCACCGAUGACACAAAUGCUGCAAACACAGGCGCACCCACUUGGCCCCCAGCGUGCAGCCUCGCCUCUUAGGUACUCGCUGGAACCCAGCGUAGACUCUGCUAUGUUUGGAAUCCGCCCUUACACGGGCUGGAUUUAUUUGCGGCGACAGUUUGACUAUGAAUCCACCCAAACAUAUAAUUUUAGAGUGUUUGCUUGGAUCCCCGAGGACGGAUUCUUGCAAAAUGUGAGCACUACAGUCAUUGUUCGUGUCUGGGAUGAGAAUGACAAUUCCCCCACCUUCUUGCAUGAUGUGUUGUUUUUGAAAGUCGAAGAGAGCCCUGUUCCCCAAGGGGUAAUAGGCAAAAUUACAGCUAUUGACAUGGACUCUGGAAAGAAUGGACAGCUAUUAUAUUUCCUUUUGUCUGAUGGAAAAUUCUUCAAGAUGAAUCCUAAUACAGGUCCAGCAGGCACCAUCUAUGUCAUAACCUGGGCAGAUGGUGCUGCUGCCUUUAGUGGGACAGACUUUGCAUUCAGUUCUGAUGAACUUCAAGCCUUUGUUCUCAAGUCUCUGUUCUGUGAAUUAGGAGAAGGAGAGUUAAUCAAUUGGGUGGCACUGGAUCGUGAGCACCGGGGGCACCAUGAGAUGACUGUGCUAGUGACAGACCGCGGCUCCCCACCACGAAACGCCACCAUGGCGGUUUACGUCUCAGUUACUGACAUCAAUGAUAACAGGCCCUUCUUCCCCCAGUGUCUCCCUGGAAAGGAGUUACACGUGAAGGUUCUGGAAGGUCAACCAGUAAAUAUGUUGGUUACAACUGUGUUUGCAAAGGAUCCUGAUGAAGGAAAUAAUGCAGAAGUUACAUACUCAGUAUCUUCAGAAGAUAGUUCUGAUCACUUUAAGAUUGACGCCAACAAUGGUGAAAUAAGAACAACCACAAUACUUUCGUAUGAUUAUAGACCUUCCUACAGAAUGAGUGUCAUUGCCACUGACCAGGGAGUGCCUCCUCUUCAAGGACAGGCAGUUGUUAAUAUUCAGGUGAUCCCACUAUCCAAAGGGAGAGCAAUCAUGUCUCAGAAUAUUAGACAUUUAAUUAUACCAGAAAAUUUGAAGCCCACAAAAAUAAUGAGCUUGAUAAAGUCAUCUGAUCACCUUCAACAACAUUAUAAUGGAAAGUUACAUUUUAGUAUUGUUGCAGAUGAUAAGGAUGGACACUUUGAAAUAGACAGCUCAACCGGAGACUUGUUUCUUUCUAAGGAACUUGAUUAUGAGACGACAUCUCAUUAUCUUUUCAGAGUGAUUACUACAGACCAUAGCAAAAACCUUUCCCUGAGUAGCACAGUCUUCCUUAGUAUCGAUGUGGAAGAUCAGAAUGACCAUUCCCCAUCUUUCCAGGAUGAGCUCAUUGUGAUCAGUGUAGAGGAGAAUGUUCCCAUAGGAACCCUGGUGUAUGUCUUCAAUGCCAAAGAUGAUGACGGCAGUUUUUUGAACAGUAGAAUACAAUACUACAUUGAAUCCCACAACCCUGGCACGAAUCCAUUUCUCAUCCACCCCUCAUUUGGCACACUAGUCACUGUGUCCCGUCUUGACAGAGAAAGCAUUCCAACUGUCAUCCUGACAGUAACAGCAUCUGAUCAGGCUGUGAAUGUGACAGACCGGCGACUGAGAUCACUGACAGCACAAAUAGUGAUUUUGGAUGUAAAUGACCACAACCCCACUUUUAUUUCUUUCCCCAAUGCCCAUGUCAAAGAGGAUGUCACAGUGGGCUCCUUGGUCCACCACAUAACUGCUCACGAUCCAGACGAAGGAAGGAAUGGAAAAGUAACAUACAGCAUCCUCUCAGGAAAUGAAAACAUGACGUUUAUGCUAGAUGAGUCAUCAGGCUUACUAACCACAACCUGUCCUUUGGAUUAUGAAAUGAAAACUCAGCAUAUUCUGACUGUUCUGGCACUGGAUGAUGGCACACCAGCACUUUCUUCAUCCCAGACUUUGACAGUUACUGUUCUUGAUGUAAAUGAUGAAGCUCCAGUAUUUAAGCAGCACCUGUAUGAAGCCUCAGUGAAAGAAAACCAAAAUCCAGGGGAGUUUGUUACCAGGGUUGAAGCUCUGGACAGAGAUUCAGGAGUCAAUUCCAAGCUUCAGUUUGAAAUCAUGCCAGGUGCUUCAUUUGAAUUAUUCGAGAUAAAUUCUGACACUGGAGAGGUAGUGACAACCACCAUACUUGACAGAGAAAUUCAAGAAGUCUUCACCCUUCGAGUACUAGUACGAGAUGGGGGAUUCCCUUCAUUGUCCAGCACCACAACAAUCCUCUGCACUGUUGAAGAUGAAAACGAUCACGCACCAGAGUUUAUUGUUUCCAGUUAUGACAUUGAGGUUCUGGAAAACCAGGAACCAGAGGUUGUCUAUACGGUUUUAGCCUCUGAUAUGGAUGCUGGCAAUAACAGAGCUGUUGAAUAUCACAUAAUUGAUGGAAAUACUGAUGAGUGCUUUACUAUAAAUGAGAUGUCAGGAGAACUCUCAACCACUCGUGCUUUGGACCGGGAGCAAAUCAGCAAUUUUACCCUUGUCAUUCUGUGCUCUGACCUGGGAGAUCCACCUAGGAGCUCUGUAAUACACCUGCAAGUUAGAGUUUUGGAUGCCAAUGACCACAGUCCUUCUUUUCCCACACUUUAUUACCAGUCCUCUGUGAGAGAAGAUGCUGAAGUGGGAACAGUGGUUCUUGUGCUUUCAGCUGUGGACAAGGAUGAAGGCCUGAAUGGGCAAACUGAGUAUUUUCUGACUGAUGAGGCUUCUGGUGCAUUCACCAUUGAUCCUAUGUCAGGCACAUUGAAAACCAGCAACACCCUCGACCGUGAAGCCAGAUCUCAGCAUACAUUUAGUGCUGUGGCCAGAGACUGUAGCAUCCAGGGUUCACGAAGCACCACUGUAAUUAUAAAAGUAUAUGUCACUGAUGUUAAUGACAAUGAUCCAGUUUUGGAACAGAACCCUUUUGAUGUGUUUCUUUCCCCCGAGUCGCCUACAAACCAGACAACUGUCAUUGUGAGAGCUGAUGACCUGGACUUGGGGCCCAAUGGAACUGUGGUUUUUAGUUUUGCAGAGACCCAGUCAAUGUUUUCUAUUGAUAAAUACACAGGAGAAAUUCAAUUUCAGCAAAAUCCAUCUUCAGAAUACUUCCCUAUCUGGCUGCAGUUAAAAGUUACAGACCAGGGCAUUCCAGCCAGGACAACCACGGGUCUCUUGGUCAUUCACAUGGAAGGAGAAGAUGUAAAGAUUUCCUUCAGCCACCACCUGUAUAAAGGGCUCGUGACUGAAAAUUGUGAGGCAGGUACUUCUAUUGUGACUGUUAAAGCUUUUGCUCCUGACUCAAUUCAGGACAGCAUGAAAUAUUCAAUUUUUAGUGGAAAUGAAGAUGGAGUUCUUUCCCUGUGCUCUAAGUCAGGACAACUCACUGUGAAAGAACCCAAGUUUCUUGAUUUUGAAGUCAGAAAUGAGGUUCAACUCAUCGUUUUAGCUGAAAGUAGUGGGCAUAGAGCCUAUUGCAAAGUAGCAGUCUUGAUACAGGAUGAGAAUGAUAAUUCACCAUGCUUUGAACAAAGCAUUUACCAGGCAUCAGUGUCUGAAAGCCAACUCUACAAUGCUCAUGUCAUACAGGUUUUUGCUACCGACUUGGACAGUGGUUUGAACGGCCUGAUUGAGUAUUCUAUUCUGUCUGGCAACCAAGAAGAAGCAUUCCAGAUUGAUGCACUGAGUGGUGUGAUAACAACAAAAGCGAUUCUAGAUUACGAGCUCACCAGCUCCUACAGCUUGAUUGUCCAAGCCACAGAUAAAGGGAUGCCCAGGCUUUCUAAUACGACUGUAAUCAAGGUACAGGUGACUGAUAUAAAUGACAAUGCCCCAGCUUUUCUCCCCUCUGAAGCAGUGGAAAUUACAGAAGAUUCUUUGCCUGGUGUAAUUGUGACUCAUGUGUCAGUUCAUGAUGUGGAUUUGAAUUCAGCUUUCAUAUUCAGUUUUGCCAAAGAGAGUAAUCCUGGAACCAAGUUUGCUAUUGAUCAGAACACUGGAGUGGUGGUGUUGGUGAAAACAUUGGAUUUUGAAGAAAUGACUGAAUAUGAGCUGCUCAUCCAAAUUUCUGAUUCAGUGCACUACACAGAGGGAGCACUUGUAGUCCGUGUGCUGGAUGUCAAUGAUAAUCCACCAGUGUUUUCUCAAGAUUUCUAUCAGGUCACAGUUCCUGAAUCAAUACCUGUGGGGUAUUCAGUGCUGACUCUGUCAGCCACAGACUUAGAAAGCAAUGAGAACAUUUCUUACAGAAUUCUAUCCUCUUCUAAGGAAUUCUCCAUUGAUCCUAAGAAUGGCACAAUAUUUACUAUCAGUCCCGUAUUACUUCUGGAUACAAUAUCAACAACUCAAUUUCUUGUGGAAGCCAGUGAUGGUGGAAAUCCUGACCUGAGAGCUCUUACUUUAGUGGAGAUAGGAAUAGAAGAUAUGAACAAUUAUGCCCCUGAAUUCACAGUCAAAUCCUAUAAUCUUAGCCUAAGUGAGGAUGCUCUGGUUGGAAGCACGCUUGUUACAUUUUCAAACAUCGACCAUGACUGGACCCGUGAAAACACAUAUGUUGAAUAUUCCAUCAUCAGUGGUAAUUCACAGAACAAUUUUCAUGUGGAAACUAAGUUCUUUCAUUCAGAAUAUCCUUAUAAGCAAGUCGGUUAUCUUGUGUUGCUUCACAGUCUGGACAGAGAAGCAAGUGCUAGCCAUGAGCUUGUCAUUCUGGCAUCUGACAGUGGCUGCCCUCCAUUGAGUUCCACAGCUGUCAUAUCAAUACAAGUACUUGAUGUCAAUGACAAUCCCCCAAACUUCAGCAGCCUGAGCUAUCACACCCAUGUCAAGGAAAGCACCCCUCUAGGGAGUCACAUCACUGUGGUCUCAGCAAAUGACCGUGACACAGGGUCACAUGCAGAAAUCAUCUACAACAUCAUCUCUGGAAAUGAGAAGGGACAUUUUUACUUAGAAGAAAACACUGGAGUUCUUUAUUUGAUUAAACCUCUGGAUUAUGAAAAAAUGACAAAAUUCACCUUAACUGUCCAAGCUUCAGAUGCAGAAAAGAAACAUUUUUCUUUUGCAGUUGUGUUUGUCAGUGUCCUGGAUGAUAACGACCAUGCACCUCAGUUUAUGUUCUCAAGCUUCAGCUGUAUUGUUCCAGAAAAUCUGCCUAUUUCCUCUACCAUAUGCUCUAUAAAUGCUCUGGAUUUUGAUGCUGGUCCGUAUGGAGAAUUGACCUAUUCUAUUGUAUCACCCUGUUUUCUCACUCAUGGAAUGUCUUAUGAUCAUGAUCUCUUCCUCAUUGACCCUUUGACAGGGGAUAUUCAUGCUAAGCAAAUCCUUGACUAUGAAAAUGGCAAUAAAUACUGCCUCACAGUCCAAGCCAAAGACAAAGGUGAUGCAACUGCCUCCUUAGUGGUCUGGGUGGAUAUUGAAGGGAUAGAUGAAUUUGAGCCCAUUUUCACUCAAGAUCAGUAUUUUUUCACCCUCCCAGAAAAGAAUAAAGACAGACAGUUGAUUGGCAGAGUGGAAGCCUCAGAUGCAGAUGCUGGUAUUGAUGGAGUCAUUCUUUACUCCCUUGGAACCUCAUCUCCUUUCUUUUCAGUAAAUAAAACCAAUGGAAAUAUUUAUUUGAUUAGAGCCCUUCCCCUAAUAAAAAGUCAACUCAACAAAGAAGACACCUUGGAAAUGAAAAUAAUCGCUCAUAGUCCCAAAUCAGAUUCCAAGUUUGCAUCUUGCACUGUUUUUGUGAAUGUGUCUUUCUCCUCUGAAGGAACACCCUUGGCAGUGUUCGCCAGCAGCUUUUCAAUCAGCCUGGUGGUCUCCUUUUUAGUGUUUCUGAUACUCAUCUGCAUUCUAAUUGUAAUGAUUUUAAGACAUAAACAAAAAGACACAAUAAACAAUUAUGAGGAGAAGAAAACCUCAUCUUUAGAUGCGGACUUGAGAGUGACCCGGGAUGCCAGUGUGCUCAAAGCCUUCCAGAAAACUGACGACUGCAGUAACGAGGUGGUCCCUGUGGAUGCCACUCCGGAAUGGUUGAGUUUAAUAAGUAUCAUGGAGAAGGAUAUUGUCAAUCUGUACAGACACUCAAACUCCAGUGGCCACUGUUCUGUGGAAGGAGAAACUGCAGAAGAUAAGGAAAUCCAGAGGAUAAAUGAGCAUCCCUACAGAAAGUGCUCAGACUCAGCUCUGAGUGACCACGAGUCCAGGGUGCCAGACUCGGGUAUCCCGAGGGACUCAGACCAGCUCUCCUGCCUAUCUGGGGAAACUGAUGUGAUGGUGACUGCCGAAACAGCAGAAGCCAGCCAAACAUUUGGGGAAGGAGAUCAAGGGGAAGGCUGCAGCACCACCUGUGCUCAAAAUAAUGUGUUACCCCAGACAGUUCAGAAGAGAGAGGCAAAAGAGAGCAUCCUGGCUGACGUUAGAAAAGAGUCUGUCUUUAUUUCAGGUGAUCAGGAAGUAAGGUGUGCAGCUCUUUCAACUCAGACGACCUCUGAUCAUGAUGGAAAAGACAACUAUCACUGGAAUUAUCUUCUUAGUUGGGAGCCCAAAUUCCAACCUCUUGCCUCAGUAUUUAAUGAUAUUGCAAAACUAAAGGAUGAACAUUUGCAUAUGCCUGGCAUUCCAAAAGAGAAGAAAUCUUUUGUUUUUCCACCCCCUUUGAUAACAGCAGUAGCCCAGCCUGGGAUUAAAGCAGUCCCACCAAGAAUGCCGGCAGUAAACCUGGGGCAGGUGCCUCCGAAACACCCACGCUCUCCCAUCCCCUACCAUCUUGGUUCUCUGCCAGAAGGCAUGACUCCCAAUUUUUCUCCAUCUCUUUCCCUAUUGACGAUGCAGCCUCCUGCCUUGUCUCCACUGUUGAGAGAAGGAGAAUUAUUAGGAACACACAUCAGUGGUACAUGCCAUGAACUUAAAGCAGAAGAUGAAGUUCAAAUAUGAAACCACUGGGAUGCCAAGUACCUGCUCACCAUUGGUCAUGAAUGAAUGAACAAAAUGUUUUCAAGCCAGCAACUCGAGAUUGGGCUCAUUUUUAUCUAAAAGCAAGUGAUGUAAUUUAGUUAGAGUUUUUAAAACUUCCCCAUUAAAGUUUCUCCAAUUUCUUCCAGCCUUAAUGAAAAGUUAUUUCCUCUUUUAAUCCUUAUGUGUUGCUCUCAGGACUCACAUUUGUAUAUAUUAAGUAGUGUAUAUUCUGUCAGACCUGUUGUCUGUAUGAUUAGACUUCCAAAGGACACAGUGAACUUAACUGACUGCCAGAAUGUUUAUAUGGAAACAAAAUAUAGUGUACUCUGGUCACAUUGCUGCUGAUCACACUGCUAUAUCAAAAACAAACUAGUAAAGGCUAAAUGGAGAAUGAGUUUAGGUCAGAACAUAUAGCAGAGAGGGGAAGUCUAGAGGAAUAAACUUUCAUUUUAAGAUAAAGCAAUAGUUGGUGGAUCUGAUAUAUUUAGAGGAGUAUUUCUCCAUUUUUCCCCAUAUACCACACCUGUAGAGUUUAGCCAUAAUUGAAUUUCAAUGUGGAGUCUUUUGGAAAACUAAUAAAAAAUUCAGAAGGAAAUUUGUCAUAACUCUGUGACAAUAGGGAGAAACAAAUAGGAUUUAUAAUGAUAGGUAAUAUAAAUAAUUAUUCAUGAUUCAAUAAACCAGAAAUGCAUGUUCCUGAUAGAGGGCCAGGAUUGAUACUCGCAAUAUUUAUGUGGUUUGCUACCACCUGAAACAUAUUAUCUUGGCCUUCUUUACAAACAGAAUGGCUUUUUUUUCAGGUCUUGUCUUAUAAGUAGGUGUGGGUAAAGACAUUAAACUUCAAAGGUUAAUUUAUAGCAAUGUCUUCAUUUUAUUUUCUUCUAGAUACAGUAACUUUUUUGUGUGAAAUAAUUUAUCCACUCAAUGUCAGUUUUUAAAAUUUGUGUAGAUAAAAAUCAUGUCAUUAGCUAAUGAUAAAUCUCAUAGAGUAAUUUAGCAAUAUAUUUUUAAAUGAAGUUUUUUAUGGAAAUGUUUCUACUAUAAAAGUUAAGAAUAGAAGUCAGAAGUCUUUUUACCAUUUGCUCACACACUUGCAGCUUUAAUUUAACUGUCAUUAGAUGGAGCAGUUUGGCACAUGGUUAAAAUGACUCUGUACAAUUACUAUUUUAGAAAUAUAGCAGUGCUAGAUGGUGCUCACAUACAAUGCUCUAGCCUUCUUUCUGAUAAGCCUGGGAAUCCCUCACAGAUUCUCAUCCCUUUCAGGAAGGUGGACAGCAUCCUGACGAUGGUGGUUCAGAAGUCCUCUUCCUGUGGUCAGCAUGAGGGCCAGGUGUUAGGCUAACAGUUUAGGAAUUCUAAUGUGAAAUCUAAAGGGUAUCGUGUGGCUUUCUUAGUAGUUAGGAUGGGCUUCUACUACAGAUAUAGUUCCUUUGUGUUCUUCUUCCAUAGGCCUCAUCUGUGAAAUUUUGUGACAUAAUUUCUCUUUACUAAAAAAUAUUGCAAGGUGCAGUGUUUGAUGUCUGGUUUUGUAGAUAAGUAAUUCUACAGCUUCCUAUGCUGAUAUUUUCUAUUAUCUAUCUAUGCUGACUGAGAUUGGGAACAAAUGUAUAAAGCUAUAUUACAAAUUGUAUGAAACAUGAAGGUUUUUGAAUAAGCCUGAAAUCCUAGGAAAAAUCCUUUAGGAGUAGAAAAUUUAAAUACUAUGGGACUGAUAUAUGAUGUUUCUCCUUUUCUUCCUGGCAUCUGGGGAAGAAGAUUUCAUGACUUAUGUAAAAAAAAAACCCACACAUAUUUAAUCAUUUAUGUGUUCCAGUAUUUAUUAUCUCUGACUCUUUUGAAAACAUUGCUUUGAGCAUAGAAAGAAACCCUAUACUAUAUUUUCCUAAUUAUAUAUGGAAGUUUUCUUUUCACAAUAGAAUUAUUUCUGGAAACUAAGAACAUUUUGUUGUUUUUAAUUAAACAGGUUCUUCAUUUACUUAUGCUUAAAAAGAGUUAUUCAUCUACCUAUUCCCUAAGUUAGUUAUUUAUUACUGUGAUUUAUUUACUCAUUAUGGAUGUGAUUCUGUAUGUUUUCUAGCCAUUGCAUAACAAGAGAAGACAUGUAAUAGAGCUUUUUUACCAAUAUUUAAUGGAUUUUUAAUUGAUGGGUUUAUCAGUCUGUAUCCAGUGCCACAAUGCCACCAAACAAGUACUACAAGUGGGAAUGGGGUUAAAAAUGUGAACACGCUGGUUAAGUGUUUGCAAUAAAUCGUAUGUCAGCUCUUUCAACUAGAGUGCUUUUUUUCCUAAGUAAACAAUAUAAUUUGUACAUUUUUCCUUCAAGUUUAAUAUUAACUUGCCUCAUAUGUUCUGGGUUACUUUGCUGAUCUAUGCACUGGCUUUAGCACUCUGGAGGGGGUACAGAACUUGUUAGUGGAAAAUCAUAUUAAGCCCCAAAUUCAUAAGCUAUAAAAUAAAAGACAGUUGUCUCUUGUGGAA